rnacentral:rRNA from 1 species
GGAGAUCCUUUUAAAAUUUUAAAAUGAUUUGGUUGUUCACAGGAAGUAUUAUAGGGAUGUAGUUUAGUGAUAUAAGUGUCGAUAGGAGAGAUAGUUUACUAGUACUGUAGAGGAGCGGUUGAGUCGGAGUGAAAGUAAAAUUUUAAUUUUGUACCUUUUGUAUCAGGGUUUAUUAAUUUAAAAGAGUGUAAGCUUGUACUCCCGAAAUAUUAAGAUCUAUUCUUUAGAUUAGGUACAAGUAAUAAAUUGUAGCGUGACAGAGGGAUAGUGGUGAGAUGUUAGCCGGUUAAUAUAUAUCUGGUUCUUUAAGAAAGAAGUUUAAUUUCUUUUUUGGACAUGAGUUGGUUCAGAAAGUUAGGUCAGGGGGCACGAGCUUUUUGAUUCGAUAGUAAGUUAUUAGAUUGAUUGAUUUUAACUAUCAAAGCUAGGCUUGAGAUCAGCCAGGUUGAGAGGAUGUUAUAGUUCACGUUGGUUGUUAUAUAUUUUUAUUGAUCUGUAGGGGGUAUUAAAGAGGUUCCUUUACUUUUAAAUGGGGGUUUAUAAUGGUAAAAUGAGUAGUUUGUAUUGUUGCGGGCGAGGUUUUAAUUAAAAUUUAGUUUCUACUUCAAAUGGGAGUUAACUAAGGAAUUCAGCAAAAUUUUCUUUGCCUGUUUAUCAAAAACAUGUCCUCAUGGGUGAUAUUUGAGGUCUGGCCUGCCCACUGAAUAAUUUUAAAGGGCCGCGGUAUAUUAACCGUGCGAAGGUAGCAUAGUCAAUAGUCUUUUAAUUGGAGGCUUGAAUGAACGGUCGGACAUAGGGAAGUCUGUCUUCGGUUGAUUAAGAUGAAUUUAACUUUUGUGUGAAAAGGCAUUAAUAUUUUAAGGGGACGAUAAGACCCUAUAAAACUUGAUGAUUAGGUUGAUCUUUGUGACUUAGGGGUAAUAUGGGGCUCAACUGAGUUCAUUGUGCUGGGGCGGCAGGAAUAUAACAAGUAACUGUUCUUAUUUAUAAAAUAGUUUUAAUUAGAGAGUGACCCUGAAAUUUUGGGUUGUAAGAUUAAGUUACUUUAGGGAUAACAGCGUUAUUUCUCUUGAGAGUUCAUAUCGACAGGGAUAUUUGCGACCUCGAUGUUGAAUUAAAGUUUUCUCCGGGAGUAGAAAUUCGGGUGAGUGGGUCUGUUCGACCUUUAAAACUUUACAUGAUUUGAGUUCAAACCGGUGUGAGCCAGGUUGGUUUCUAUCUCUUGAUUCUUGAUUUAUUACUUUAGUACGAAAGGAUUAAGUAGUUAUAACAUUUAUGUUUAAAAGAGUAAAGUUAAUGA